rnacentral:rRNA from 1 species
GACGUAGGGCGCGAGCGUUGUCCGGAUUUAUUGGGCGUAAAGAGCUCGUAGGCGGCUUGUCGCGUCGGAUGUGAAAGCCCGGGGCUUAACUCCGGGUCUGCAUUCGAUACGGGCAGGCUAGAGUGUGGUAGGGGAGAUCGAAUUCCUGGUGUAGCGGUGAAAUGCGCAGAUAUCAGGAGGAACACCGGUGGCGAAGGCGGAUCUCUGGGCCAUUACUGACGCUGAGGAGCGAAAGCGUGGGGAGCGAACAGG